rnacentral:tRNA from 1 species
GCAUUGGCAGUUCACUGGUAGAAUUCUUGCCUUCCAGGCAGGAUACCUGGGUUGGAUUCCUAGCCAAUUCA